AUUGAACGCUGGCGGCAGGCCUAACACAUGCAAGUCGAGCGGAACUGCGGCCGGGUGAGUAAUGCCUAGGAAUUUGCCUGGUAGUGGGGGAUAACUUACGGCAACGGUCGCUAAUACCGCAUCCUAUCAGAUACACCUAGGUCGGAUUAGAUAGUUGGUGGGGUAAAGGCCUACCAAGGCGAAGAUCCGUAACGGGUCUGAGAGGAUGAUCAUUAACACUGGAACUGAGACACGGUCCAGACUCCUACGGGAGGCAGCAGUGGGGAAUAUUGGACAAUGGGCGAAAGCCUGAUCCAGCCAUGCCGCGGGUGGGAAGAAGGUCUUCGGAUUGUAAAGCUCUUUAAGUUGGGAAGCGGUACCAACAGAAUAAGCACCGGCGAACUUCGUGCCAGCAGCCGCGGUAAUUC
rnacentral:rRNA from 1 species